rnacentral:rRNA from 1 species
CACGUAGUUAGCCGGGGCUUCUUAGUCAGGUACCGUCAUUUUCUUCCCUGCUGAUAGAGCUUUACAUCACGAAUGACUUCUUCACUCACGCGGCGUCGCUGCAUCAGGGUUCCCCCCAUUGUGCAAUAUUCCCCACUGCUGCCUCCCGUAGGAGUUUGGGCCGUGUCUCAGUCCCAAUGUGGCCGUCCGCCCUCUCAGGCCGGCUACCGAUCGUCGCUUUGGUGGGCCUCUACCCCGCCAACUGGCUAAUCGGACGCGGGUCCAUCCCAUACCACCGGAGUUUUUCACACUGCUUCAUGCAAAGCUGUGCGCUUAUGCGGUAUUAGCAGCCGUUUCCGGCUGGUAUCCCCCGGUAUGGGGCAGGUUACCCACGCGUUACUCACCCGUCCGCCACUAACAUAAUUCUCACUAGGUUUCAAAUUAUGUCCGUUCGACUUGCAUGUGUUAGGCACGCCGCCAGCGUUCAUCCUGAGCCAGGAUCAAACUCU